CGCCGUUGGUGGACGAGGCGCCGCCGCCGCCGCCGCCCGCCGGGCUCUUGGCGCUGCCGUUGACCGACCGGUUCUUCCCCAGCAACUCGGGCCCUUUCUCCAUCAUGCCGGGCAUGUUUGGGAGUGGGGGCUGUCAGUGGUGACAUGAGGACGGGGUUCUUGCCUACUUGGCGCCUGCCCAGUGGGUGCUGCUGCCCUGUGGUCAGGGCUUGGGGCCGAGCUGUAGAGGGCGGAGCCCUGAAGCAGAGAGGCCCAGCGCACGAAAUCAUGCACGAGUAGUUCGCCGCCGCUUGCCGCCACUCACCGCCCUGCCCGCUGCUGCUCGUCGUUCACCGCCCAGCCCACAGCCGCUCAUCGCUCGCCGCCCCGCCUGCAGCCGCUCCUCACUCACCACCCUGCCUGCAGCCCUUCUUCGCUCGCGGCCCAGCCUGCAGCCACUCGUUGCUCGCCGCCCUGCUCGUCGCUCCACCCGCAGCAGCUUGUUGCUCACCACCCUGCCUGCGGCCGCUCAUCGCCCACGACCCAGCCCACAGCCACUGAUCACUCGUCGCUCCGCCCGCCGCCGCUCAUUGCUCCGCCUGCUGCCACUCACGCGUCGCUCACCAUCCUGCCUGCAGCCGCUUGUGGCUCGCCGCCCUGUCCGCAGCCGCUCAUCACUGGCCGCCCCGCCCACAGCUGCUCCUCGCUUGCCAGCCCACCUUCAGCCGCUCGUCACUCGCGGCCCAGCCCACGGCCACUCGACACUCACCGCCCCACGUGUCGCUCCGCCCGCCGCCACGUCGCUGGGCCCACAGCCACUUGUCACUCGCCGCACCGCCCGCAGCCGCUCAUCGCUCACCGCACCGCCCACCACCGCUCGUCACUCACCACCCCGCCCACCGCCACUUGUCACUCCCCCCGCCGCUGCUCGUCACUCGCCGCCCCGCCCGCCGCUGCUCAUGGCUCACCAACCCGCCCGCUGCUGCUCAGGGCUCACUGCUCCGCUUGUCACUCCGCCGGCCGCCGCUCAUCGCUCGCCACCUCGCCCACCGCCGCUCGUGGCUUGCCAACCCGCUCCUCGCUCCGCCCGCAGCCGCUCCUCGCUGGUCACUCUGCCUGCAGCUGCUGGUCGCUCGCCACCCCGCCCGCCACCGCUCAUUGCCCCGACCGCCGCCGCUCGUCGCUCCUCCCGCCACCACUCGCCGCCCUGCCCUCCACCACUCGCAGGCCAGGGUGGAGGGACUGAGGGGUGGUCAAUGCAUCUCAUGGCGACUGGUCGAGCGGCCGUUCCGCUUGUGACGGUUAUGGUCCCUGGCCUUUUAUUAUAUAGGAUACAAGCACUGAACAAUUAGAAAAUGAAUUUUUUAAAAGAAAUCCUAUAUAAUAAAGAGCUAAUAUGCAAA